rnacentral:tRNA from 1 species
CCCUGGAUGGCUCAGUUGGUACAGCAUGAGACUCUUGAUCUCAGGGUCAUGAGUUCAAGCCCCAUGUUGGGUG